rnacentral:rRNA from 1 species
GACGAACGCUGGCGGCGUGCUUAACACAUGCAAGUCGAGCGGGGUCCAACCUGUCGCAAGACAGGGGAAGACCUAGCGGCGAACGGGUGAGUAACACGUGAGGAACCUGCCCCGAAGACCGGGAUAACACCGGGAAACCGGUGCUAAUACCGGAUGCCCUCAGAGAGUCGCAUGGCUCAUUGAGGAAAUGGAUUCCGCUUCGGGAGGGCCUCGCGGCCUAUCAGCUUGUUGGUGGGGUAACGGCCUACCAAGGCUCCGACGGGUAGCUGGUCUGAGAGGACGACCAGCCACACUGGGACUGAGACACGGCCCAGACUCCUACGGGAGGCAGCAGUGGGGAAUCUUGCGCAAUGGGCGAAAGCCUGACGCAGCAACGCCGCGUGGGGGACGAAGGCCUUCGGGUUGUAAACCCUUUCAGCAGGGACGAACAUGACGGUACCUGCAGAAGAAGCCCCGGCCAACUACGUGCCAGCAGCCGCGGUAAUACGUAGGGGCGAGCGUGUCCGGAUUAUUGGCGGU